ACUAAGCGUACACGGUGGAUGCCCUGGCAGUCAGAGGCGAUGAAGGACGUGCUAAUCUGCGAUAAGCGUCGGUAAGGUGAUAUGAACCGUUAUAACCGGCGAUUUCCGAAUGGGGAAACCCAGUGUGAUUCGUCACACUAUCAUUAACUGAAUCCAUAGGUUAAUGAGGCGAACCGGGGGAACUGAAACAUCUAAGUACCCCGAGGAAAAGAAAUC
rnacentral:rRNA from 1 species